GAUGAACGCUGGCGGCGUGCCUAAUACAUGCAAGUCGAGCGAACAGACGAGGAGCUUGCUCCUCUGACGUUAGCGGCGGACGGGUGAGUAACACGUGGAUAACCUACCUAUAAGACUGGGAUAACUUCGGGAAACCGGAGCUAAUACCGGAUAAUAUAUUGAACCGCAUGGUUCAAUAGUGAAAGACGGUUUUGCUGUCACUUAUAGACGGAUCCGCGCCGCAUUAGCUAGUUGGUAAGGUAACGGCUUACCAAGGCAACGAUGCGUAGCCGACCUGAGAGGGUGAUCGGCCACACUGGAACUGAGACACGGUCCAGACUCCUACGGGAGGCAGCAGUAGGGAAUCUUCCGCAAUGGGCGAAAGCCUGACGGAGCAACGCCGCGUGAGUGAUGAAGGUCUUCGGAUCGUAAAGCUCUGUUAUUAGGGAAGAACAAAUGUGUAAGUAACUAUGGCCGUCUUGACGGUACCUAAUCAGAAAGCCACGGCUAACUACGUG
rnacentral:rRNA from 1 species